GGCCAGUGUGGCAUAGUGGUUACAGUGUUGAAUUACAACUCUGGAGACCAGCAUUCAAUUCCCAGCAUGGCCA
rnacentral:tRNA from 1 species